GAUGAACGCUAGCGAUAGGCUUAACACAUGCAAGUCGAGGGGCAGCAUGGUCUUAGCUCGCUAAGACUGAUGGCGACCGGCGCACGGGUGCGUAACGCGUAUGCAACUUGCCUCACAGAGGGGGAUAACCCGUCGAAAGACGGACUAAUACCGCGUACACUCCAUCUUGGGCAUCCAAGGAGGAGGAAAUGAACUUCGCUGUGAGAUAGGCAUGCGUCCCAUUAGCUUGUUGGUGAGGUAACGGCUCACCAAGGCGACGAUGGGUAGGGGAACUGAGAGGUUGAACCCCCACACUGGUACUGAGACACGGACCAGACUCCUACGGGAGGCAGCAGUGAGGAAUAUUGGUCAAUGGGCGAGAGCCUGAACCAGCCAUUCGCGUGAAGGAUGACUGUCUUAUGGAUUGUAAACUUCUUUUAUACGGGAAUAACAAGAGCCACGUGUGGCUUCCCUGCAUGUACCGAUGAAUAAGC
rnacentral:rRNA from 1 species